rnacentral:tRNA from 1 species
UUUAAAAUAGCUUAUAUAUAAAGCAUUGCUCUGAAGAAGCAAAGAAGAAAUUAGUUUCUUUUAAUA